rnacentral:rRNA from 1 species
CAGCAGCCACGGUAAUACGUAGGUGGCGAGCGUUGUCCGGAUUUAUUGGGCGUAAAGGGAGUGUAGGCGGUCUUUUAAGUCUGAUGUGAAAGCCCACGGCUCAACCGUGGAGGGUCAUUGGAAACUGGGAGACUUGAGUGCAGAAGAGGAGAGCGGAAUUCCAUGUGUAGCGGUGAAAUGCGUAGAUAUAUGGGGGAACACCAGUGGCGAAGGCGGCUCUCUAGUCUGUAACUGACGCUGAGGCUCGAAAGCGUGGGGAGCAAACAGGAUUAGAUACCCCAGUAGUCCCUGUCUCUUAUAC